GAUGAACGCUGGCGGCGUGCCUAAUACAUGCAAGUCGAGCGAACAGACGAGGAGCUUGCUCCUCUGACGUUAGCGGCGGACGGGUGAGUAACACGUGGAUAACCUACCUAUAAGACUGGGAUAACUUCGGGAAACCGGAGCUAAUACCGGAUAAUAUAUUGAACCGCAUGGUUCAAUAGUGAAAGACGGUUUUGCUUUCACUUAUAGAUGGAUCCGCGCCGCAUUAGCUAGUUGGUAAGGUAACGGCUUACCAAGGCAACGAUGCGUAGCCGACCUGAGAGGGUGAUCGGCCACACUGGAACUGAGACACGGUCCAGACUCCUACGGGAGGCAGCAGUAGGGAAUCUUCCGCAAGGGGCGAAAGCUUGACGGAGCAACGCCGCGUGAGUGAUGAAGGUCUUCGGAUCGUAAAACUCUGUUAUUAGGGAAGAACAAAUGUGUAAGUAACUAUGCACGUCUUGACGGUACCUAAUCAGAAAGCCACGGCUAACUACGUG
rnacentral:rRNA from 1 species